UACGUAGGUGGCAAGCGUUGUCCGGAUUUACUGGGCGUAAAGAGCGCGCAGGCGGUCGUUCAAGUCGCGUGUGAAAGCCCCCGGCUCAACUGGGGAGGGUCACGCGAUACUGAUCGACUCGAAGGCAGGAGAGGGAAGUGGAAUUCCCGGUGUAGUGGUGAAAUGCGUAGAUAUCGGGAGGAACACCAGUGGCGAAGGCGGCUUUCUGGACGAUAACUGACGCUGAGACGCGAAAGCGUGGGGAGCAAACAGG
rnacentral:rRNA from 1 species